ACACCUCUUCCUCGAAUCCCUCGGCGAGCUGGCCGCUCCCCACCUCCCGCCACCUCCCCCAAAUCCCUCUUCCUCGCCGGGCGCCCCCACCUCCCGCCGGCCACUCCCCUCCUCGCCGCCCUUCCCCUCUCGCAUCUAUCAGUGUUCUGUCGCUUCUCUUGCUCGCCCCCCAAAACCCUAGCCCACUCUCCCCACCUCCUCGACGGCCGCCGGCGGCCCUAACGGCGGCGGGUCCCCGCCCGGCGGCUGACGGGAGCGGCAGCGUCUUGCUGUGCUGUAGCUAGGGCCCGCCCCGAUGAAGGCGGACGGUGCGGCCGGCGGCGGCGGCCCUAGCGACGGCGCCGGACGACUGGUGCGGCAUCCGGCGGUCGAGGCGACCGCCUAGGGCGGCGAAGGCGGCUCAGGCUGACGAGGCGGCAACCGUUGGCCCGGUCGGAUCCGCGCCGUCCCUGGCCAGAUCCGUCCUCGCUUCGCCCGGGUCCGUUCAAGCAGCCGCCUCUGCGGGCUGACGUCAUCGCCGCUGUUUGCUUGUCCGGCGAGCGGCGGACCUUACCACAUAUUAUGGCUGUCAAGAAGAACAUCGAAGAGAUGCAACGAAAGGAUAGCUACCCAUGGAGAUCUCCGCGGGAGCUCGGUGGCCUGCCUGUCUGGAGCUCCCGCAGCCGCUGUCCUCCUCCUCCUUUGGCCCCACCGCCGGCUGCUCCUGCUCCUGCACUGCCGGCCACCGCGCCUCCCUAGCCACCGGCCGCCGCGCCUCCCUAGCCGCCGGCCGCCGCGCCCUUGCUCCCUCUCGCUGCUUUGGGCCUCUGGUCGUAAGAGAGAAGCAAAAGAAGCAGACAAACAAGAAAAGAGGAAGGAGGAAGAAGAUAAGAAGGAGAGAGAAUGGAAAGUGGGUCCCACCAUUUUAUAAACAGCUGAAUAGCUUCCUCCUCAACAGUAUCCCGAUCAUUGUUACUGUGGUUUCAUCUGGCGUAUACUCUUUACUGAGAGGUGACUUGACACUAGCAAAGGCGUUUAUAUCACUUUCACUAUUUCCUGUGUUAUGUUUUCCACUUUUUAUGCUGCCAAAUCUGAUAACUCAGGUGUGCAAAAAUGCUUUAAAAUAUGUCUUCAUGUUAAGUUUCCCAUUUUCUAUGCAGGUUCAGGAGAAUAUCAUUUUCCUCACCAUGUAUGCUUUGAUUAAUCAUUCUUGUACUAUUUGAUUUCCAUCUGCCUCUGACAGAGAAAAUUGGUACAAUGGUUUUACAUUUUUGGUCACAGCCCAACAGUGGCUUGAGAUGGUUUUGCGGUUUUCUUCUUCAACAGCUCUUUUGUUUGGUACUCAUAGUCACUUUACCGUUUCGCUUUUUUUUUCAUUUAAAUUCAACAGGUUGUUAAUGGUAAGGUGUCGUUCAAACGUUUGGGAGAUCUCCUCCUGGCUGAAGAAAGAAUACUUCUGCCGAAUCCAUCUAUUGAUCCCGAGCUUCCGGCAAUUUCUAUUAAGAACGGAUAAUUUUCAUGGGAAUCACAGGAAGCACUGGGGAAGGGAAGACUUCUCUUAUUUUUUGCAAUGCUGGGUGAAAUACCACCAGUGUCAGUAUCGAAUACCGCAGUGGUCCUUCGUGGAUCAGUGGCUUAUGUUCCUUAGGUUUUAUGGACUUUCAGUGCUACUGUGGGACUUGGAAGAGAACAAAGUGAAGAUGGGUUUUUAGUUGUCAUACCUACUAAGAGUAAAGCUUCUGGUUCCAGUGGACCUUUAACUGCACUGGUAAUACUAUUCCUUUAAUUUGCUGACUGCAUGAUCUGUUAUUAGGCUUCGAGCACUCCUUCAACCAGGCAAGCACCUCCUCCAGAU